rnacentral:rRNA from 1 species
GACAGAGGGGGCAAGCGUUGCUCGGAAUUACUGGGCGUAAAAGGCGCGUAGGCGGGCUGGCAAGUCGGUCGUGAAAUCCUUCGGCUCAACCGAAGAACGUCGAUCGAUACUGCUGUUCUUGAGGGUUGCAGAGGAGACUGGAAUUCCCGGUGUAGCGGUGAAAUGUGUAGAGAUCGGGAGGAACACCGGUGGCGAAGGCGGGUCUCUGGGCAAUUCCUGACGCUGAGGCGCGAAAGCGUGGGGAGCAAACGGG